rnacentral:rRNA from 1 species
AUUGAACGCUGGCGGCAGGCUUAACACAUGCAAGUCGAGCGGGGGAAGGUAGCUUGCUACCGGACCUAGCGGCGGACGGGUGAGUAAUGCUUAGGAAUCUGCCUAUUAGUGGGGGACAACAUCUCGAAAGGGAUGCUAAUACCGCAUACGUCCUACGGGAGAAAGCAGGGGAUCUUCGGACCUUGCGCUAAUAGAUGAGACUAAGUCGGAUUAGCUAGUUGGUGGGGUAAAGGCCUACCAAGGCGACGAUCUGUAGCGGGUCUGAGAGGAUGAUCCGCCACACUGGGACUGAGACACGGCCCAGACUCCUACGGGAGGCAGCAGUGGGGAAUAUUGGACAAUGGGGGGAACCCUGAUUCAGCCAUGCCGCGUGUGUGAAGAAGGCCUUAUGGUUGUAAAGCACUUUAAGCGAGGAGGAGGCUACUCUAGUUAAUACCUAGGGAUAGUGGACGUUACCCGCAGAAUAAGCACCGGCUAACUCUGUGCCAGCCGCCGCAGUAA